rnacentral:rRNA from 1 species
CCUACGUGAGGCAGCAGUGGGGAAUAUUGGGCAAUGGACGCAAGUCUGACCCAGCAACGCCGCGUGAAGGAAGAAGGCUUUCGGUAUGUAAACUUCUAUCAUCAGGUAAGCAAAUGACGGUACCUGACUAAGAAGCCCCGGCUAACUACGUGACAGCAGCCGCGGUAAUACGUAGGGGGCAAGCGUUAUCCGGAUUUACUGGGUGUAAAGGGAGCGUAGGCGGUUUAGCAAGUCAGAAGUGAAAGCCCGGGGCUCAACUCCGGGACUGCUUUUGAAACUGUUGAACUAGAUUGCAGGAGAGGUAAGUGGAAGUCCUAGUGUAGCGGUGAAAGGCGUAGAUAGUAGGAGGAACACCAGUGGCGAAGGCGGCUUACUGGACUGUAAAUGACGCUGAGGCUCGAAAGCGUGGGGAGCAAACAGGAUUAGAUACCCUUGUAGUC